rnacentral:tRNA from 1 species
UCCCUCGUGGUCCAGUGGUUAAGACUUUGCCUUCCAAUACAUGUCGUGCAGGUUCAAACCCUGCUCAGGGAG